AUGCUCUUGUUGGUUUUAGUUUUUCUUGCAGGUUUAAAAGGUAUAAGAAGAACAAUGAUGGAAUUACAUCCUCACCAUCGAAAAUCAUUGCAAACUCCGACGAGCCCCACCGACCGCUGCAUACACUCACAACCGCCGCAAAGCCAAAUGAAACAUCGACUGCAACAACGGCAGACCACCAUCGACGGUAAUCAACAUCUCUUCAUCGAUAAUCUCAACCACACACCAUGCCGGUAG